GCACGCCCACUCCUCCGGCUCUUCUUCUCCACCGGCACCAGUCCACCACCUCCCACCUCCUGCCACCGCGCGGCCCCAACCAACCACACCGCAGCGCAGCAAUGGCGGGCAACGGCGCCAUCGUGGAGAGCGACCCGCUGAACUGGGGCGCGGCGGCGGCGGAGCUGGCCGGGAGCCACCUGGACGAGGUGAAGCGCAUGGUGGCGCAGGCCCGGCAGCCCGUGGUCAAGAUCGAGGGUUCCACCCUCCGCGUCGGCCAGGUGGCCGCCGUCGCCUCCGCCAAGGACGCGUCCGGCGUCGCCGUCGAGCUCGACGAGGAGGCCCGCCCCCGCGUCAAGGCCAGCAGCGAGUGGAUCCUCGACUGCAUCGCCCACGGCGGCGACAUCUACGGCGUCACCACCGGCUUCGGCGGCACCUCCCACCGCCGCACCAAGGACGGGCCCGCGCUCCAGGUCGAGCUGCUCAGGCAUCUCAACGCCGGAAUCUUCGGCACCGGCAGCGACGGGCACACGCUGCCGUCGGAGGUCACCCGCGCGGCGAUGCUGGUGCGCAUCAACACCCUCCUCCAGGGCUACUCCGGCAUCCGCUUCGAGAUCCUCGAGGCCAUCACGAAGCUGCUCAACACCGGUGUCAGCCCCUGCCUGCCGCUCCGGGGCACCAUCACCGCGUCGGGCGACCUGGUCCCGCUCUCCUACAUCGCCGGCCUCAUCACGGGCCGCCCCAACGCGCAGGCCGUCACCGUCGACGGGAGGAAGGUGGACGCCGCCGAGGCGUUCAAGAUCGCCGGCAUCGAGGGCGGCUUCUUCAAGCUCAACCCCAAGGAGGGCCUCGCCAUCGUCAACGGCACGUCCGUGGGCUCCGCGCUCGCGGCCACCGUGAUGUACGACGCCAACGUCCUGGCCGUCCUGUCGGAGGUCCUGUCCGCCGUCUUCUGCGAGGUCAUGAACGGCAAGCCCGAGUACACGGACCACCUGACCCACAAGCUGAAGCACCACCCGGGGUCCAUCGAGGCCGCGGCCAUCAUGGAGCACAUCCUGGAUGGCAGCUCCUUCAUGAAGCAGGCCAAGAAGUUGAACGAGCUGGACCCGCUGCUGAAGCCCAAGCAGGACAGGUACGCGCUCCGCACGUCGCCGCAGUGGCUGGGCCCCCAGAUCGAGGUCAUCCGCGCCGCCACCAAGUCCAUCGAGCGCGAGGUCAACUCCGUGAACGACAACCCGGUCAUCGACGUCCACCGCGGCAAGGCGCUGCACGGCGGCAACUUCCAGGGCACCCCCAUCGGCGUGUCCAUGGACAACGCCCGCCUCGCCAUCGCCAACAUCGGCAAGCUCAUGUUCGCGCAGUUCUCCGAGCUCGUCAACGAGUUCUACAACAACGGGCUCACCUCCAACCUGGCCGGCAGCCGCAACCCCAGCCUGGACUACGGCUUCAAGGGCACCGAGAUCGCCAUGGCCUCCUACUGCUCCGAGCUCCAGUACCUGGGCAACCCCAUCACCAACCACGUGCAGAGCGCGGAGCAGCACAACCAGGACGUGAACUCCCUGGGCCUCGUCUCGGCCAGGAAGACCGCCGAGGCGAUCGACAUCCUGAAGCUCAUGUCGUCCACCUACAUCGUGGCGCUGUGCCAGGCCGUGGACCUGCGCCACCUCGAGGAGAACAUCAAGGCGUCGGUGAAGAACACCGUGACCCAGGUGGCCAAGAAGGUGCUGACCAUGAACCCCUCGGGCGAGCUCUCCAGCGCCCGCUUCAGCGAGAAGGAGCUGAUCAGCGCCAUCGACCGCGAGGCCGUGUUCACGUACGCGGAGGACGCGGCCAGCGGCAGCCUGCCGCUGAUGCAGAAGCUGCGCGCCGUGCUGGUGGACCACGCCCUCAGCAGCGGCGACGCGGAGCGGGAGCCCUCCGUGUUCUCCAAGAUCACCAGGUUCGAGGAGGAGCUCCGCGCGGUGCUGCCCCAGGAGGUGGAGGCCGCCCGCGUGGCGGUCGCCGAGGGCACCGCCCCCGUGGCGAACCGGAUCGCGGACAGCCGGUCGUUCCCGCUGUACCGCUUCGUGCGCGAGGAGCUCGGCUGCGUGUUCCUGACCGGCGAGAGGCUCAAGUCCCCCGGCGAGGAGUGCAACAAGGUGUUCGUCGGCAUCAGCCAGGGCAAGCUCGUGGACCCCAUGCUCGAGUGCCUCAAGGAGUGGGACGGCAAGCCGCUGCCCAUCAACGUCAAGUAAAGAACGCCAAGGAGAAGAGGAGGGAGGGGAGGAAAUACGUGGAAAAAAAAAUAAAACCUGUACACGUGUAUGUCCAGAUCGCGUGCCGUCGAUCGUUCUUCGUUGUUGAUUUUUGGUUGUAUUGAUCGAUCCGUAUGUGUGCGUGCGUGUGUGGCGUUGCUCUUUCUUC
rnacentral:misc_RNA from 1 species